AAAAGGGGAAGAUGGCAUCUCAAUUCUCCAACAGGGACCUCGAGAUCCUGGUCAAAGGGAUGGUGUAAAGGAAGCUUUGUCUUUCUGGAGGACAGGUAGAGGAGAUCACAGUGCCAGAUCCUACCAGUCUGAUCUGAGAUCACCACCCUGGUCAGUGCCAGUUCCAUGAUCUAAAGAAACAGCCAGCAAUCCUUUAAUAAGUUUAAUGAUCUUCUCUGCUGCACCAAGAUAAAGCCGGUGUUUCCACUACUUCUCCAGAGUAAUACCCAGUUCCCCCAAAAGCCAUCUCUGGGGAUCUCUGAGGACAAGAGUACAGAUGCCUUAGGGGAUGCAUCGACAAGGCUGCCAUCUAUCCAAAUACGGACACCUUGAUGGGAAUAUUAGGCUUCGAGAGUACAAUACAUUUGGUGAAGGAAUUGAUUUGAAUCAAACUGCUGAAUAAUUUUAGGUCAAUAAUUACACAUUCAAGACUCUCUAUGAGAACAACAUUUCAGAUAUCAAUCAAAGAGGUUUGCAGACAAUCAAACCAUUGAAAGAUUAUACCCCGAACAAAUGUUAGAUAUUCAUUUACGAAGAAAUGAACUCAU